AAGCUCGUAGUUGAAUUUCGGGAUUAGUACGUCGGUCGUACCUUAGGUACGUACUGGUGUUACUGGUUCCUACCUUCUGACGAACCAUCAUGUCAUUAAUUUGGUGUGGUGGGGAAUCAGGACUGUUACUUUGAAAAAAUUAGAGUGUUUAAAGCAGGCUCGCGCUUGAAUACAUUAGCAUGGAAUAAUGAAAUAGGACGUUGAUCCUAUUUUGUUGGUUUCUAGGAUUGACGUAAUGAUUAAAGGAG
rnacentral:rRNA from 1 species